AGCGAACGCUGGCGGCAGGCCUAACACAUGCAAGUCUAACGAACCUUUCGGGGGUAGUGGCGGACGGGUGAGUAACACGUGGGAACGUGCCUUUAGGUUCGGAAUAACUCAGGGAAACUUGUGCUAAUACCGAAUGUGCCCUUCGGGGGAAAGAUUUAUCGCCUUUAGAGCGGCCCGCGUCUGAUUAGCUAGUUGGUUGAGGUAAUGGCUCACCAAGGCGACGAUCAGUAGCUGGUCUGAGAGGAUGAUCAGCCACAUUGGGACUGAGACGCGGCCCAAACUCCUACGGGAAGCAGCAGUGGGGAAUCUUGCGCAAUGGGCGAAAGCCUGACGCAGCCAUGCCGCGAGAAUGAUGAAGGUCUUAGGAUUGUAAAAUUCUUUCACCGGGGACGAUAAUGACGGUACCCGGAGAAGAAGCCCCGGCUAACUUCGUG
rnacentral:rRNA from 1 species